GUGCCGCCUGAGCCGGGCGGGCGAGGGCGGCGGUGGUCGGAGAGGAGGCGCCGAGGGGAGGGAAGCGAAGAAGGGGAGGCAGCCGGGGGGAGAAGUCUCCCACCUCCUCCUUCCCCUCACCGGCACCGCCUCCUCGGCGCUCCCCAGUGCCGGGGUGCCCGGGUGGGGCGGCGCUCCUGCUCCCUGCCGGGGGUCGGCGCGGCCGGAGCGGGCGGGGAACGCGGCCGGUGCCGUGCGGAGGGUUGUCAGCUGCUGGAUGCUGGGGGGUGUCACAUAGGAGCUAUUUGCCCACAAAUUGGAACAGUCCAGCCCUUAUCCUGCUAGUGUGCAAACGGCUUGGAAACCUUGUUCUGUCCUCGAAGCUGUAUUGUCCAUCACCAUAUGGGAUAAGGUGAUGUUUAACAACACCUCGUGUGUUUGAUCCCUGGUGAAGUAGGCAGGGAAAAAGGGCCGAAGGAAGUUGGACGCUGCCGCUGCAGACGGCUCAGCCGGGAGUUUGUCAAAGCCACUCCACCUAGUGGCGGUCACUUGGCACAGCUGGGCUGGCAGUGCCCAUCAACAGCUGCCGGGUGAUGGAGAACGGAAUAAAAUGGUGCUCAGCUACGAUUGUUCUGCUCUG
rnacentral:lncRNA from 1 species